rnacentral:rRNA from 1 species
UACAGAGGUCUCAAGCGUUUGUUCGGAUUUAUUGGGCGUAAAGCGUGCGUAGGCGGCGGGGUAAGUGAGGUGUGAAAUCCCAGGGCUUAACCCUGGAACUGCACUUUAUACUGCCUUGCUCGAGGGCUGGAGAGGAGACUGGAAUUUACGGUGUAGCAGUGAAAUGCGUAGAGAUCGUAAGGAAGACCGGUGGCGAAGGCGGCAUCCUGGACCGGCAUUGACGCGUGAGGCGCGGAAAGCCCAGGGGAGCAAACGGG